GAUGAAGAACGUAGCGAAAUGCGAUAAGUAAUGUGAAUUGCAGAAUUCAGUGAAUCAUCGAAUCUUUGAAUGCACAUUGCGCCCGUCAGUAUUCUGGCGGGCAUGCCUGUUCGAGCGUCAUUACGCCCCUCAAGUCCCCUGUGGACUUGGUGUUGGGGAUCGGCGAGGCUGGUUUUCCAGCACAGCCGUCCCUUAAAUUAAUUGGCGGUCUCGCCGUGGCCCUCCUCUGCGCAGUAGUAAAACACUCGCAACAGGAGCCCGGCGCGGUCCACUGCCGUAAAACCCCCCAACUUUUUAUAGUUGACCUCGAAUCAGGUAGGACUACCCGCUGAACUUAAGCAUAUCAAUAAGCGGAGGA
rnacentral:misc_RNA from 1 species